CGGAGGAAAAGAAACCAACAGGGAUUGCCUUAGUAACGGCGAGUGAAGCGGCAAAAGCUCAAUUUGAAAACGCUUCGGCGUGUUGUAAGUAAAGUGGUUAGACGCUUUUUAAUAAGUCCCUUGGAACAGGGCGCCAUAGAGGGUGAUAGCCCCGUAUUAAAUUGUCUAGUGUGCUACUUUAGAGCGAGUCGAGUUGUUUGGGAAUGCAGCUCAAAUAGGUGGUAAACUCCAUCUAAAGCUAAAUAUUGCUGGGAGACCGAUAGCGAACAAGUACAGUGAUGGAAAGAUGAAAAGCACUUUGAAAAGAGAGUGAAAUAGCGUGUGAAAUUGUUGGAGGGGAAGGCGAUGGUAGGAAUAAGAGGCUGCGGUUUGAAAUAAUUGUUUUUCGGGCCACGGUCUCCUGAGCCUGCUUUCGCACCCGUC
rnacentral:rRNA from 1 species